rfam:Triticum aestivum genome assembly, contig: Triticum_aestivum_CS42_TGACv1_scaffold_132007_2BL
GCUAUACUCCCUACGUCCGGAAAUACUUGUCGGAGAAGUGGAUGUAUCUAGAUGUAUUUUAGUUCUAGAUACAUCCAUUUUAUUCAUUUCUCUGACAAGUAUUUCCGGAGGAGGGAGUAUUUG